AAAAAAUAGUGUGAUGUUAAAACAAAUGUGCAAUUCUUCAAAUGAUAUUCCCUUAAAAUGUUUCACAACAGAUUUUCUGAGAAAAUUGAGUUAGUAUGUGCUUGUUGU